rnacentral:rRNA from 1 species
UAGGACUCUCGGCAAUGGAUAUCUUGGCUCUCGCAUCGAUGAAGAGCGCAGCGAAAUGCGAUACGUGGUGCGAAUUGCAGAAUCCCGUGAACCAUCGAGUUUUUGAACGCAAGUUGCGCCCGAGGCCAGCUGACCGAGGGCACGUCCGCCUGGGCGUCAAGCAUUGAAUCGCCCC